rnacentral:tRNA from 1 species
GGGGAUGUAGCUCAGCUGGUAGAGUGCUUGCUUAGCACACAUGAAGCCUUGGGUUUAACCCCCAGCACUCCCA